AUCAUACUCCCUCCGUCCAAAAAUACUUGUCAUCAAAACGGACAAAAAAGAUGUACCUUGAAUUAAAACACAUCUAGAUACACCUCCUUUUAUUCAUUUUGAUGACAAGUAUUUCCGGACGGAGGGAGUAUAUG
rfam:Triticum aestivum genome assembly, contig: Triticum_aestivum_CS42_TGACv1_scaffold_030253_1BL